GGAGGGGUACCGAAGUGGUUAUAACGGGGAGGUCUCGAAAACCUUUGUGCCUUUAGCACCGUGGGUUCGAAUCCCACCCCCUCCG
rnacentral:tRNA from 1 species